UACGCAGGGUGCAAACGUUGCUCGGAAUUAUUGGGCGUAAAGCGCACGUAGGCGGCUCCGCAAGUCCCAUGUGAAAGCCCACGGCUCAACCGUGGAAGUGCAUGGGAAACUGCAGAGCUUGAGUACUAAAGAGGAUCGCGGAAUUCCCGGUGUAGAGGUGAAAUUCGUAGAUAUCGGGAGGAACACCAGUGGCGAAGGCGGCGAUCUGGGUAGAUACUGACGCUGAGGUGCGAAAGCGUGGGGAGCAAACAGG
rnacentral:rRNA from 1 species